CUUGACAGUUUUCAUUCUUGAAUUAUUUUUUGAACAAUAUUUAUUUCCUUUUAGAAGAGGAAAUGUGAAUGUGUACAAUGUGAUCAACAGUGUAACGAGGAGAAAACUUGUGAUUCCUCUCAUGGCUGCUUCAGCAAAAAGAAGGAAUUUAAUACGACAGGGCUGCCGCCCUAUACUAUCCUGCAGAAAGGCUGUUCUUCAAGCAAGUGUGAGCCACGGGCCUUCUCGGUGACACUGGGGGAUAACCACACAUAUGGGCAUGACUAUCAAUGCUGCCAAACUGAAAAGUGUAACAAAGCAGACUUCCAAGUGGCUCGGAAGUCCUCGGAUCCCAAUGGCAUUACCUGUCCUGCCUGCUACAACGAGAAUGGUGCUACCUGCCAACCAACUGACCUCGCCUGUAAAGGGGAAGAGACAAAGUGUCUUAACUUUAUAGGCACAGGUAUCGAUAUUUACCCAAGCAUUUUGGUGUUCACU
rnacentral:lncRNA from 1 species